AUCCCUCCAAAAGUUCCCAAAUACUCAAAUACCCCAUGUUUCUCUCAAAAAUUCAGUCUUCCCCCCAAAAUCUUUGUUUCCAUCACACACUCAUUCUCGUUUCCCCCUCAUGGAAGGCUUUUAAAUGUGGAAGCGUCGGCAAGAUCGAGAUGGAGGUUAACUACCCACUGCGAUCUCUGUUUGUUGUGUGGGUCAGUGCUGAUAGUCGCUGAUGUUUUUGUAACCGAACAACGAGUAAACGGUGGUUAGGGUUGAACAUUCGGACGAAAUAAAGGAUGUCUUGUGUGCAAGAAGAAGAUGGCAACUCCUCUCUCAAAACACUUUCUGGAUCUUGUCCUGCCCCAUUUAGAAAUCUUUUGGAAUAUGUUGUUAAUUUGAAGUUUGAUAAAGAGCCUUCUUAUGCAAAACUUCCGUUUGAUCAUCUGAAAGUAGUUAUUUUUCCUAAUUACAUGUCAAAUUGUGUGUUAAUUUGUUGGCCUGUUAUAUGGUAUUUGUAGGUUUAUGAAAAGAGCUCACAUCAUAGUACUUUGGUUGUUUGUUUGAAGUUGUGAAAAUGAAGCUCUCUAACGGAAGAUUUGAAUAUGAUUGAUGAAUUUGUACGUGAUACUUGUGAAUUUGGCUAUGAUGAAAGGUUGAUGGAUAAGCCAAAUAGUACAGAAUACAAGUCUUCCUCCAUGGAAAUGCAGUAUAUAUAUAUUAUAAACUUGGAGGAUGAUGGUGGGGACAUGGUGCUACUCCUACACUAACUAUUUUUUUCUCAUAGUGUUAUGGUUAGAGACGGCGGCUUCCGGUAUGGCAUGGCCCGGUUCGUGUUGCUAUACAACUGGAAUUUGAUUUUCAUAGGGCCAUCUACAACCUCAACACUUUUUCGGUUAGUUGAAUGAACUUUUUCUCUUCUACGAUUCCGGUUGCAAGUAUGGAUUAAAGACAUUGGUUUGGGUUGAAAGUAUGAAGACGUCUGUCGGUUUGGUUCAGGAAGUUAUUGUAUAUCACUUUCAUCUUUAGAGUUAUAUGUAUUAUUGUGUUAUUGGAAAACUUUUGUAAUAUUGUGUUACUUUGAAACCUUUGUAUUUUGUAAUCUUGGGUCAUAUUAUAUUGGUUCUAAUUUAAUUUUGUUCUUUUUUGUA